rnacentral:rRNA from 1 species
GACGAACGCUGGCGGCGUGCUUAACACAUGCAAGUCGAACGGAAAGGCCCUGCUUUUGUGGGGUGCUCGAGUGGCGAACGGGUGAGUAACACGUGAGUAACCUGCCCUUGACUUUGGGAUAACUUUAGGAAACUGGGGCUAAUACCGGAUAGGAGCUCCUGCUGCAUGGUGGGGGUUGGAAAGUUUCGGCGGUUGGGGAUGGACUCGCGGCUUAUCAGCUUGUUGGUGGGGUAGUGGCUUACCAAGGCUUUGACGGGUAGCCGGCCUGAGAGGGUGACCGGCCACAUUGGGACUGAGAUACGGCCCAGACUCCUACGGGAGGCAGCAGUGGGGAAUAUUGCACAAUGGGCGGAAGCCUGAUGCAGCAACGCCGCGUGCGGGAUGACGGCCUUCGGGUUGUAAACCGCUUUCGCCUGUGACGAAGCGUGAGUGACGGUAAUGGGUAAAGAGGCACCGGCUAACUACG